rnacentral:rRNA from 1 species
ACUCCUACGGGAGGCAGCAGUGGGGAAUAUUGCACAAUGGGCGCAAGCCUGAUGCAGCCAUGCCGCGUGUGUGAAGAAGGCCUUCGGGUUGUAAAGCACUUUCAGUUGUGAGGAAGGUGGUGUCGUUAAUAGCGGCAUCAUUUGACGUUAGCAACAGAAGAAGCACCGGCUAACUCCGUGCCAGCAGCCGCGGUAAUACGGAGGGUGCGAGCGUUAAUCGGAAUUACUGGGCGUAAAGCGCAUGCAGGUGGUUUGUUAAGUCAGAUGUGAAAGCCCGGGGCUCAACCUCGGAACUGCAUUUGAAACUGGCAGACUAGAGUACUGUAGAGGGGGUAGAAUUUCAGGUGUAGCGGUGAAAUGCGUAGAGAUCUGAAGGAUACCGGUGGCGAAGGCGGCCCCUGGACAGAUACUGACACUCAGAUGCGAAAGCGUGGGAGCAAACAGGAUUAGAUACCCCUGGUAGCACAGAG